rnacentral:rRNA from 1 species
AUUGAACGCUGGCGGCAUGCCUUACACAUGCAAGUCGAACGGCAGCACGGGAGCAAUCCUGGUGGCGAGUGGCGAACGGGUGAGUAAUAUAUCGGAACGUGCCCAGUCGUGGGGGAUAACGCAGCGAAAGCUGUGCUAAUACCGCAUACGAUCUAUGGAUGAAAGCGGGGGAUCGCAAGACCUCGCGCGAUUGGAGCGGCCGAUAUCAGAUCAGCUAGUUGGUGAGGUAAAGGCUCACCAAGGCGACGAUCUGUAGCUGGUCUGAGAGGACGACCAGCCACACUGGAACUGAGACACGGUCCAGACUCCUACGGGAGGCAGCAGUGGGGAAUUUUGGACAAUGGGCGAAAGCCUGAUCCAGCAAUGCCACGUGCAGGAUGAAGGCCUUCGGGUUGUAAACUGCUUUUGUACGGAACGAAACGGUGAGCUCUAAUACAGUUUGCUAAUGACGGUACCGUAAGAAUAAGCACCGGCUAACUACGUGCCAGCCGCCGCGGUAA